GUGGGGAAUCUUGCGCAAUGGGCGAAAGCCUGACGCAGCCAUGCCGCGUGGAUGAUGAAGGUCUUAGGAUUGUAAAAUCCUUUCACCGGUGAAGAUAAUGACUGUAGCCGGAGAAGAAGCCCCGGCUAACUUCGUGCCAGCAGCCGCGGUAAUACGAAGGGGGCCAGCGUUGCUCGGAUUUACUGGGCGUAAAGGGCGCGUAGGCGGACAUUUAAGUCAGGGGUGAAAUCCCGGGGCUCAACCUCGGAACUGCCUUUGAUACUGGGUGUCUUGAGUAUGAGAGAGGUGUGGGGAACUCCGAGUGUAGAGGUGAAAUUCGUAGAUAUUCGGAAGAACACCAGUGGCGAAGGCGACACACUGGCUCAUUACUGACGCUGAGGCGCGAAAGCGUGGGGAGCAAACAGGAUUAGAAACCCCGGUAGUCC
rnacentral:rRNA from 1 species